AGGAGCCGUAUGAAUCGAGAGAUUCACGUACGGAUCUGUGAGAGCCUGAGGGGGCAGGUCCCUCGGGCCACUCGAC
rnacentral:ncRNA from 1 species